GACGAACGCUGGCUGCGUGCUUAACACAUGCAAGUCGAACGGAAAGGCCCUGCUUUUGUGGGGUGCUCGAGUGGCGAACGGGUGAUUAACACGUGAGUAACCUGCCCUUUACUUUGGGAUAACUUCAGGAAACUGGGGCUAAUACCGGAUAGGAGCUCCUGCUGCAUGGUGGGGGUUGGAAAGUUUCGGCGGUUGGGGAUGGACUCGCGGCUUAUCAGCCUGUUGGUGGGGUAGUGGCUUACCAAGGCUUUGACGGGUAGCCGGCCUGAGAGGUUGACCAGCCACAUUGGGACAGAGAUACGGAUCAGACUCCUACGGGAGGCAGCAGUGGGAAAUAUUGCACAAUGGGCGGAAGCCUGAUGCAGCAACGCCGCGUGCGGGAUGACGGCCUUCGGGUUGUAAACCGCUUUCGCCUGAGACGAAGCGUGAGUGACGGUAAUGGGUAAAGAAGCACCGGCUAACUACGUG
rnacentral:rRNA from 1 species